UACGUAGGGUGCAAGCGUUGUCCGGAAUUAUUGGGCGUAAAGAGCUCGUAGGCGGUCUGUCGCGUCGGCUGUGAAAUCCCGAGGCUCAACCUCGGGUCUGCAGUCGAUACGGGCAGACUGGAGUACUGCAGGGGAGACUGGAAUUCCUGGUGUAGCGGUGGAAUGCGCAGAUAUCAGGAGGAACACCGGUGGCGAAGGCGGGUCUCUGGGCAGUAACUGACGCUGAGGAGCGAAAGCGUGGGGAGCAAACAGG
rnacentral:rRNA from 1 species